GAUGGCCAUUGUGAGACACAAUUGGAGGAAACAUGGAGAGCACUGUUUUCAAGCCUCACUUAUGCUAAAAACUUUAGCGGUCCGGUUUGUUUUCGCCAUGCUAUCCUCUCGCCGUUGGGAUAUGAAACUGCCCUGUUUAAGGGGCUUUCAGAAAGUAUCGGUUGUACUGGAGCUCCUGCCCAUGAUUUGUGGCAAAAUCCCAGUGAUAGUAAAACUGCACGGUUGUCCGAGUUUGGAGAGAUGAUCAGAGCAGCCUUUGGAUUUCCUGUGGAUAGACAGAACAUCCCAAGGACAGUCACUGGCCACAAUGUCCUCUUUGUUAGACGCGAGGAUUAUUUAGCUCACCCACGUCAUGGCGGAAAGGUACAGUCUAGGCUUAGCAAUGAACAAGAAGUAUUUGAUUCCAUAAAGAGCUGGUCCUUGAACCACACAGAGUGCAAAGUAAAUGUGAUUAACGGAUUAUUUGCCCACAUGUCCAUGAAAGAUCAAGU
rnacentral:misc_RNA from 1 species